GCAGUCGAACGAACCUUCGGGUUAGUGGCGGACGGGUGAGUAACGCGUGGGAAUCUGCCCUCAGGAGGGGGAUAACGGCUGGAAACGGCCGCUAAUACCCCAUAUGCCGAGAGGUGAAAUGAAUUUCGCCUGAGGAUGAGCCCGCGUCUGAUUAGCCAGUUGGUGAGGUAAGAGCUCACCAAGGCAUCGAUCAGUAGCUGGUCUGAGAGGAUGAUCAGCCACACUGGGACUGAGACACGGCCCAGACUCCUACGGGAGGCAGCAGUGGGGAAUUUUCCGCAAUGGGCGAAAGCCUGACGGAGCAACGCCGCGUGAGGGAUGAAGGCCUCUGGGCUGUAAACCUCUUUUCUCAAGGAAGAAGAUCUGACGGUACUUGAGGAAUAAGCCACGGCUAAUUCCGUGCCAGCAGCCGCGGUAAUACGGGAGUGGCAAGCGUUAUCCGGAAUUAUUGGGCGUAAAGCGUCCGCAGGCGGCCCUUCAAGUCUGCUGUUAAAACGUGGAGCUUAACUCCAUCAUGGCAGUGGAAACUGUUGGGCUUGAGUGUGGUAGGGGCAGAGGGAAUUCCCGGUGUAGCGGUGAAAUGCGUAGAUAUCGGGAAGAACACCAGUGGCGAAGGCGCUCUGCUGGGCCAUAACUGACGCUCAUGGACGAAAGCCAGGGGAGCGAAAGGGAUUAGAUACCCCUGUAGUCCUGGCCGUAAACGAUGAACACUAGGUGUCGGGGGAAUCGACCCCCUCGGUGUCGUAGCCAACGCGUUAAGUGUUCCGCCUGGGGAGUACGCACGCAAGUGUGAAACUCAAAGGAAUUGACGGGGGCCCGCACAAGCGGUGGAGUAUGUGGUUUAAUUCGAUGCAACGCGAAGAACCUUACCAGGGUUUGACAUCCUGCGAACCUCUUGGAAACGAGAGGGUGCCUUCGGGAACGCAGUGACAGGUGGUGCAUGGCUGUCGUCAGCUCGUGUCGUGAGGUGUUGGGUUAAGUCCCGCAACGAGCGCAACCCACGUCUUUAGUUGCCAGCAUUUAGUUGGGCACUCUA
rnacentral:rRNA from 1 species